rnacentral:rRNA from 1 species
GACGAACGCUGGCGGCGUGCUUAACACAUGCAAGUCGAACGGAAAGGCCCUGCUUGCAGGGUACUCGAGUGGCGAACGGGUGAGUAACACGUGGGUGAUCUGCCCUGCACUUCGGGAUAAGCUUGGGAAACUGGGUCUAAUACCGGAUAGGAGCCAUCUUUAGUGUGGUGGUUGGAAAGUUUUUUCGGUGUAGGAUGGGCUCGCGGCCUAUCAGCUUGUUGGUGGGGUAAUGGCCUACCAAGGCGGCGACGGGUAGCCGGCCUGAGAGGGUGUACGGCCACAUUGGGACUGAGAUACGGCCCAGACUCCUACGGGAGGCAGCAGUGGGGAAUAUUGCACAAUGGGCGCAAGCCUGAUGCAGCGACGCCGCGUGGGGGAUGAAGGCCUUCGGGUUGUAAACUCCUUUCGCUAGGGACGAAGCUUUUUGUGACGGUACCUAGAUAAGAAGCACCGGCUAACUACGUG